GGGUCCCAGAGGCGCCUUACCCCUGCACAUUGGAAGUGAAUUACUGGCAGCUGUUCAAACUCUUCAGGCAGGAUUCCUGUGGACUUUGAGAUUUCCUGUUACCUCAUCUUCUUUUUUAAAGUACACCUGACUUAGGAGGGUACUGUCUCUAAUGUAUAUUUCUAGUGUUUACAGACACUAAGUGUGUAUAUGUAGUAACUAUUUACAGACCAUGCAUCCUUAUACUGUGACUUCACCUAGUACAGAUCUUCAACCAAGCUGAAGACCUGCUGCUCUGAAACAGUACUUGCAGUUACUCCCCCGCUGUUGUUUGGACAGUUCAUUCGAAUGGAUUUUUAACUAUUAGGGAUCACUUCGAAGUUUCAU
rnacentral:lncRNA from 1 species